GAUGAAGUGACUCCAACUUGGACUCAAAAAAGAGGUUAUCCCUAAUUAUCCUAUGCCCGUAAGCUUGCUGCUGCGAGCGUAUGGCGUGUGCUAGAGGCCUCCUUGUGGGUGCGACUUGCGUGCGCGAGUGGCAUUAGUUGUCCGCACAAAUGAGCCCCUUUGUGCGUUCUACUAGGCAUAGGAUCUAUUCCCCCGUACG
rnacentral:lncRNA from 1 species